rnacentral:tRNA from 1 species
GUUGGUGGGCUCAGUGGUAGAGGGCUUGCCUUGCAUGCGUGAGGCCCUGGGUUCAAUCCUCAGCAUCACA